UACGACUAUAGGAAACGUGUUUUCCGAUG
rnacentral:piRNA from 1 species